GGCAGUGGCUAAAGUGGUAGAGCGCUUACUUAGCAAGCAUGAGGGCCUGAGUUCAAAUCCCAGUACUGCCA
rnacentral:tRNA from 1 species